CCCUUAGAUGUUCUGGGCUGCACGCGCGCUACACUGAUGCGCUCAACGAGUUUACGAACUUGCCCGGAAGGGUUGGUUAAUCUUUUUAAAACGCAUCGUGAUGGGGAUAGAUUAUUGCAAUUAUUAAUCUUCAACGAGGAAUUCCUAGUAAGCGCGAGUCAUCAGCUCGCACUGAUUACGUCCCUGCCCUUUGUACACACCGCCCGUCGCUCCUACCGAUUGAGUGGUCCGGUGAGGCUUUGGGAUCUGAGCGGAAAGAGCGUUUCGCUGUUUCUGCUCGGAAAACUCAGUCGAACCUUAUCAUUUAGAGGAAGGAGAAGUCGUAACA
rnacentral:rRNA from 1 species